GCUACCGUGUCUGGCUUUAAAGGUAUUUUUCAGAGAGCCUUGAGUUCCCUCUAGUAACUCUUAGAGACAAGCUUUCUGCUGUAUAACAGACAAGUCAAGGUCAUAGCAAACACAGGCUGAAGCGAAUCACCCUUCAUAGAGCUUUAUUAGGGAGAGCUACAGGCUCAUGAGCAGAGGCGCCCACGAUGGGGCCUGAAGCGGGAGAGCAUAAGGAAAGAGAGCCACCAGGUACAGCAUGAUGGGGACCCUGAAGGGAAAGAAAGGGGACAUUUUACAAUUUUUUGGGGGGUGGGGGGAGGGUGAUAAGAUCCAUAUCACUUGACCUAGCUAGCCUAUGUGGUGUGAGUCACAAGACAGGAAGGAACUAGAUAUAAGUAGAGUUAUAAGUCGAGGUUGUCUGGGCAUCAGUGUCUGGGCUUGGCACUGUAGGGGGCUUAGAGAGAAUGGAACUCUGAGAGCUGUGAGGUCACAGCAGCUCUCUGAAGCUGGCCUUGAGAGACUGAGGGGUGUGGCCUCCCUCAUUCUGGGGAGAGGGAGCAGUGGGUAGAGGACCUGGCUUCUGCCACUGCCCUCUGAGCACUCUUUGCAACCCCCUGUGUUGUGUCGAUUUUUCUUUAAACUUUCCUGAGACUGGGACUCAGGAAGCCCUGGCUGGCCUCGACCUUGCGACCUUGCGACCUUGCAGUGCAGCACAGGAUGACCUGCCUCUCCUGCCUCUGCCUCCCCAGGAGCUGGCAUUACAGGCAUGGGCACCACACUUACAUUGGGUGCUGGGGAAUCAAACCCAGGGCUUCAGGCAAGUUAAGCAAGCACACUACUACUGAGUUACAACCCCAGCCCUCGUAUCUUUUCUAAGAAUGGUCUCGAACCUUUGCUUCCAGGAGUCUGAGCUACGCUGCCAGUGCUCACUGGUGUCGUCCCUGCCAGAGGCCGCGGACCUUAGUGGUCGUUUCCCUUCACUACCUUUCACCCUUAGCAUCUCCCUUCAGAGAGAAGGCCCAAGUCUCUGCCCUCUAUUUCUUGAGGUUAAUUACAUCCCUGGCUUGGCAUCUGUCCUGUGCCCUACCCAGCCCCUUUCCCCAACACCUGCAGUGUAUACUAUUCUUGCAGAAGUGGGAGGUGGCUUGGUAAAGACUUUAUAAUCCUGAGAGAGGACCUGAAGCAAGGAAGAUGGCGAUACAGUCACAGAUCCCACCCAGAGAAGAGUUAAUUCAUGGCAGGCAGAGUGGAGGGAUGUCCUGGGCUGGAUCAAGUGGUGGAAGAUAAGAAAGAGGGCCAAAACCAGCAUGUGGUGAUGUGGGCCUCUAAUCCCAACAAGUUCAGGUCCCAGCUCUCCUAUGGUUAAGAGGGCAGGCAGAGAGAGGAGGCUGUCUGCAGAGAGAGGAGGCUGCUGCAGAGAGAGGAGGCUGCUGCAGAGAGAGGAGGCUGCUGCAGAGAGAGGAGGUAUCUGGAGUUCAUGGAUCAGCUAGCCUGGCAUAUGCAAAGGACAACAAGAGACCCUACCUCAAGAAAGGUCAAAACUAAGAUCUGAUGCUCAGUGAGGCCCUGUGGCCUACCAUCUAUCCACCAUGUCAGGUAUUGGACAGACACACACACAUACACACACAUACACAC
rnacentral:lncRNA from 1 species